UUUUCCACGUCGUUCUUGGAAAACAAACCAAAACUAGGGGAGGUGAAAGAUCAGGGAGGAGCUGUCUUAAGCAGUGCCCUUCCUAAAGGCCCCACACCGAGAACUGGAGCCAAAAAGGGCAAAGGUAAGCGGUGCCCUGAGCGCGGUACCUCCCUGCGGGAGCUGGGCAGAGCUGGCUUGCAAGCAGGCAGUGAUGUCCAUGGCGAGGAAGGAGGCUGGUGGCAGGCACUGCAUCUCUCCCGUAGCCAGACGGACACCGGGAAGGCGGCUGCAGGCUUUGGAUUCCACAUCUCUUGCUUUUCCUGUCGCCUGGCUAAGUGUGCUGGUCACAGAUAGGAAACGAGACAGAUAGGGCAGUGAGCGAGUGGCACACGGCGGUGAGCAGCACAGAUAGAAACUAUUCUUGGUUAGCCGCUCAGUAGCAGUUCGUUUAGCAGCUGGGGAGUAAAGUUACUCAGGAAAGUCUGAAUCACUUUGAUCCAGCCAUCUGCAAAAACCUACGGUUACGCAUCCAGGAAGGCAGGUCUUUCGCAUCACACAAGAAAAAAAAAAAAAAAAGACAAUCCAACAACAGGAAAUUCUGCCUAACCCGUCCCUAAUUAAAAGAUCAUCACCCCGCCACGCUGCGUGACUCACUGAGAAGCCAGGAAGCGCUUACGGUGGCGAAGGCGGCCCGGGGGUGCCAGGGCAGGCCCAGGAUGGCAGUGGGGACCUGGGGGCCAUGCUGGGACCUUUGGGGCUGUGAUGGGACCCCCGGGGCCAUGCUGGGACCCCUGGGGCCGUGAUGGGACCCCCGGGGUCAUACUGGGACCCCCAUCCCUCAGGGGUGUUGUGGGACAAGCCAGGCCUGCGUAUAAUAAAAAUAUAAUAUGAAAUAAACGCUUUUAUUUGUAUUUGUCAUGGCGUAGUGCUUUCAGGCUUUAAGGAACACAUCCUUAUUCACGUCUGAUGUGAGACCGCGCGGCUCUUUUUAUUAUUUUAUUGAUUUUUAACAAACUGUCAGUGCAGCGAGGGGGGAAGGCGAAGCCUCCGGGGUCCCAGCAGCCCACACCCGGCGCCACCUCAGGGGCAGGGGCAGGGGCAGGGGCUGGGCUCCCCCCAUGCCCGCAGGGGAGCACCGGGGGGCGGCGGGGGCCGCUCCCUCAGCGGG